rnacentral:rRNA from 1 species
UACGGGGGGGGCAAGCGUUGUUCGGAAUUAUUGGGCGUAAAGAGCGUGUAGGCGGCCAUACAGGUCCGUUGUGAAAACUGGAGGCUUAACCUCCAGACGUCGAUGGAAACCGUAUGGCUAGAGUCCGGAAGAGGAGAGUGGAAUUCCUGGUGUAGCGGUGAAAUGCGCAGAUAUCAGGAAGAACACCCGUGGCGAAGGCGGUUCUCUGGGACGGUACUGACGCUGAGACGCGAAAGCGUGGGGAGCGAACAGG